rnacentral:rRNA from 1 species
GACGAACGCUGGCGGCGCGCCUAACACAUGCAAGUCGAACGAGCGAGAGAGAGCUUGCUUUCUCAAGCGAGUGGCGAACGGGUGAGUAACGCGUGAGGAACCUGCCUCAAAGAGGGGGACAACAGUUGGAAACGACUGCUAAUACCGCAUAAGCCCACGACCCGGCAUCGGGUAGAGGGAAAAGGAGCAAUCCGCUUUGAGAUGGCCUCGCGUCCGAUUAGCUAGUUGGUGAGGUAAUGGCCCACCAAGGCGACGAUCGGUAGCCGGACUGAGAGGUUGAACGGCCACAUUGGGACUGAGACACGGCCCAGACUCCUACGGGAGGCAGCAGUGGGGAAUAUUGCACAAUGGGGGAAACCCUGAUGCAGCGACGCCGCGUGGAGGAAGAAGGUCUUCGGAUUGUAAACUCCUGUUGUUGAGGAAGAUAAUGACGGUACUCAACAAGGAAGUGACGGCUAACUACGUGCCAGCAGCCGCGGUAAAACGUAGGUCACAAGCGUUGUCCGGAAUUACUGGGUGUAAAGGGAGCGCAGGCGGGAAGACAAGUUGGAAGUGAAAUCCAUGGGCUCAACCCAUGAAUUGCUUUCAAAACUGUUUUUCUUGAGUAGUGCAGAGGUAGGCGGAAUUCCCGGUGUAGCGGUGGAAUGCGUAGAUAUCGGGAGGAACACCAGUGGCGAAGGCGGCCUACUGGGCACCAACUGACGCUGAGGCUCGAAAGUGUGGGUAGCAAACAGGAUUAGAUACCCUGGUAGUCCACACUGUAAACGAUGAUAUAAAGGGGUGUUGGAGGAUUGACCCCUUCAGUGCCGCAGUUAACACAAUAA